GUUUAUUUCUUAGCCAGCUUCUAAUAAUUUUGCAGAGAAGAAUAGCUCUGGAAGUCAAUUUGGUCUUAACAAGGAUCAAUAUUCUAUUCAGUUGAGAUGGGCUUGGAAUCAAGAUUUUUGAACAUUUUCACUAUUCCUACACUGAUAUUCACACUCAUGUUUUCAAGUAUUAUUACGGCUGCAAAUUCUGAUGGUUGCAAUCAAACUUGUCCAGAUGGUGGUUGGACGACACAUGAACUCAUCUACCCAUUUGGAUUCUCUGAAGGCUGCAAAAUCCGUCUCAACUGCACCAAAUCAAGACACAUCCUCAUCGGAGAUUUUAGAGUCAAAACUAUAACUAAAGAUAACAUCUGGGUUGAAGUUCCUGCUAAUUCCAGUCGUCCAACAGAAACAGUGAUGCAACUCUAUACGAACAACUUUGCACCAAGUUUACAAAAUCUUCUCAUUCUUGUAAACUGCGCAAACUAUUCUUCUAAUUGCCCAAAGAUAGAGUCUUCGCCAAAAGAUAUGACGAACAGCAAGAACAGAGGGUGCCUGUCAGAUGGAUUCAAGGGGGUGAAUGAUUUGGUGAAUUACGUCCGCAGAAAUAGAACUGAUUGUCAGAAAUUUUAUUCAAGCAUCGUGGUAAAGCAAUCACCACCUGUUUUCUACAUGAUUAAACUAGCAUGGUGGUUAGAAGGCUCAUGCCAGUGUUCUCAAAACGCCAACUGUAUGUUCUUGUCUCUCCCCUAUGGAAAGGCUGGAUACCAGUGUCGCUGCAACAAAGGGUUCAGAGGAGAUGGAUACCCAGAAAGCCUACCUUGUCAAGAAGGACACUUCAUGAAGGUGCUUGCCAUGUCCGUGGCGCUUGCUGCAGUGCUGCUUCUAAUCCUGUCCUUGAUGUCAUACAUACGAAAAAGAAUAGGAAAAUUUGGAAAUAAUCAUAUGAAAGAUAACAAGAAUGAUUACAGCCAGAGCCAAGAGGAGGAUUUAGAGCUGCCACUGUUUGAUUUUGUUACAAUAAAAAGUGCAACCAACGACUUCUCUGAUUACAACAAGAUUGGAGAGGGAGGAUUUGGACCUGUCUAUAAGGGUAUAUGGGAGGGAGGACAAGAAAUAGCUGUGAAAAGACUUUCGAAGAGUUCUAGACAAGGUCUUAAAGAGUUCAAGAACGAAGUCAUCUUAAUUGCCAAACUUCAACACCGAAACCUGGUGAAGCUUUUAGGUUGCUGUAUUGAAGGAGAUGAAAAGAUGUUAAUUUAUGAAUACAUGCCCAACAAAAGC
rnacentral:misc_RNA from 1 species